rnacentral:rRNA from 1 species
AUUGAACGCUGGCGGCAGGCUUAACACAUGCAAGUCGAACGAGUGGCGGACGGGUGAGUAAUGCUUGGGAAUCUAGCUUAUGGAGGGGGAUAACUACGGGAAACUGUAGCUAAUACCGCGUACCAUAGGAUGAGCCCACUUGGGAUUAGGUAGUUGGUGGGGUAAUGGCCUACCAAGCCGACGAUCUCUAGCUGGUCUGAGAGGAUGACCAGCCACACGGGGACGGAGACACGGCCCGGACUCCUACGGGAGGCAGCAGUGGGGAAUAUUGCGCAAUGGGGGCAACCUGACGCAGCCAUGCCGCGUGAAUGAAGAAGGCCUUCGGGUUGUAAAGUUCUUUCGGUGACGAGGCGUUAAUCACAGAAGAAGCACCGGCUAACUCCGUGCCAGCAGCCGCGGUAAUAC